rnacentral:lncRNA from 1 species
AGGAAAAAAAGACAAAGAAAAAAAAGAAAAGAAGAAGAAAGCAAAAAAGGCCUCAACCAAAGAUUCUGAGUCACCGUCCCAGAAGAAAAAGAAGAAAAAGAAGAAGACAGCAGAGCAGACUGUAUGACGAGCACCAGCACCAGGCACAGGGAUUUCCUAGCCGAGCAGUGGCCAUCCCCAUGCCUCUGACCUCCACCGACCUCUGCCCACCAUGGGUUGGAACUAAACUGUUACCUUCCCUCGCUCCACAGAAGAAGACAGCCAGCUGCAGGGGUCCCUGUGCUGGCCAAGCCAGUGAGCCUGUGGGGAGGCUGGUCCAAGGAGAAAGUGGACCAGCUCCCAUGACCUCACCCCACUCCCCCAACACGGGACGCUUCAUAUAGAUGUGUACAGUAUAUGUAUUUUUUUAAGUGACCUCCUCUCCUUCCACAGACCCCACAUGCCCAAAGGCCUCGGGACUUCCCACCACCUUGCUCCACAGAUCCAGCUAGGCCUGACCUGUGCCUCAUCCCAUGCCGCUCGGUCUCUGGCUGAUCCCGAGGCUUUGUCUUCCUCUCGUCAGUUCUUUUGGUUGUGUUUUUUGUUUUUUUUUAAUAACUCAAAAAAAAAAUAAAAGACUUGGAGGAAGGGUGCAAGCUCCCAGUGCAUCUGGGGCACAUGUUUCUUGGAAGGGACUGUCUCGCCGACACUCGGGAUUCCUUCUUGCCUGCGUGUUGAGGCUAUGGGUGACUGUGGUUAGUGGGACAGGCAGUGAGCAGUGAAGUGCCUGAGUGCCGAAUUGGUGGGGAAGGCUUCCUGGAUGAGGUGGCAUCUAAACUAAAGGAUGGUCAUGGUUGAUUUCCUGUUGCCAGAGUAAGUCAUGUAAAUACCCAA